UACGUAGGGGGCAAGCGUUGUCCGGAUUUACUGGGCGUAAAGAGCGCGUAGGCGGAGAUCUAAGCGUGGCCUGAAAGCCCCCGGCUCAACCGGGGAGUGCGGCUGCGAACUGGGUUCUUGAGGACGAUAGAGGAGAGUGGAAUUCCUGGUGUAGCGGUGAAAUGCGUAGAUAUCAGGAGGAACACCCGAGGCGAAGGCGGCUCUCUGGGUCGUACCUGACGCUGAGGCGCGAAAAGCGUGGGGAGCGAACGGG
rnacentral:rRNA from 1 species